rfam:Gossypium raimondii Chr04_contig_1403, whole genome shotgun sequence.
UGUUAAAAAUUCUAUCCAUCUAUACUGUUUAAAAUUAGUAUGGCUAAUGGAAUGACUAGAUAGUGAUAGGUGGUGUACCAUGUGUAUCUCAAGUUUAUAUAUAAAUAUCAGUUUUUAACACUAGAAAUGUAUGAAAUUUUUAAUA